rfam:Oryza rufipogon genomic scaffold, chr01
CCUAAGUGCAACUAUAAAUUUCCGCGCUAAAUUUUGAUCGUCCGUCUUAUUUGAAAUUUUUUUAUAAUUAAUAUUUUUGUUGUUAUGAGAUGAUAAAACAUGAAUAAUAUUUUAUGUUUUCAAUUUUUUUCAAAAUUUUUUUAAAUAAGAUGGACGGUUAAGGUCAGACGCGGAAAACCAUAGCUACACUUAAA